GACGGAGGAUGCAAGUGUUAUCCGGAAUCACUGGGCGUAAAGCGUCUGUAGGUCGUUUAAAAAGUCUACUGUUAAAAAUUGAAGCUUAACUUCAAAGAUGCCGUAGAAACUUUUAAACUUGAGUAUGGUAGGGGUAGAGGGAAUUUCCAGUGGAGCGGUGAAAUGCGUAGAUAUUGGAAAGACCACCAAUGGCGAAGGCACUCUACUGGGCCAUUACUGACACUGAGGAGCGAAAGCAUGGGGAGCGAACAGG
rnacentral:rRNA from 1 species